UGGGGAAUCAUCUAAUGGUAGGAUACCGGACUCUGACUCCGUUUAUCUAGGUUCGAAUCCUAGUUCCCCAGCCA
rnacentral:tRNA from 1 species